CGCAUCUGUGCAUGCAGUAUAUCAAUAAGCGGAGGAAAAGAAACUAACAAGGAUUCCCCUAGUAACGGCGAGUGAAGCGGGAAGAGCUCAAAUUUGAAAUCUUAAAGGGUUUCCCUUUACGAAUUGUAGUUUAAAGAAGUGUUUUCUGCUGAGGUUUUGGUAAAAGUUCUUUGGAAUAGGACAUCAUAGAGGGUGAGAAUCCCGUAUUUGACCUUUACUUUCAACUUUGUGAUACACUUUCAAAGAGUCGGAUUGUUUGGGAAUGCAGUCCAAAAUGGGUGGUAAAUUUCAUCUAAAGCUAAAUAUUGGCGAGAGACCGAUAGCGAACAAGGUACCGUGAGGGAAAGAUGAAAAGAACUUUGAAAAGAGAGUUAAACAGUACGUGAAAUUGUCAAAAGGGAAGCGUUUGACACCAGUGUUGUUUUUCUGAAAAUCAAUUAAAGAACUGUUUAUGCUAAGUUGUUUAGACUUUAUCAGCUAACUGUUUAGUUUUGAGCUUUUCUUUAAUGCACUUUUCAGUUAACAAGUCAACAUCAAUUUCUUUUGCUGUAAAAAAGCUUGAGGAAGGUGGCUUGAGAUUCGUCUUAAGUGUUUAUAGCCUCUUGCCUAUGCAGUCGGAGAGAUUGAGGUCUGCAGCGUAGAUCCUUCGGGGCUAAAUAGCAUUUGUGCUAAGUUAUAACAUUUAUAGACAACUUGUUGACUAUGAUUUGUCUUGUCGCUUACUCGCUUAUGUUAUUUUACCUACGCUUAGGAUGUUGACAGCAGUAUAGACUGU
rnacentral:rRNA from 1 species